rnacentral:rRNA from 1 species
GGGAACGUACCCUUUGGUUCGGAAUAACGCUGGGAAACUAGCGCUAAUACCGGAUACGCCCUUUUGGGGAAAGGCUUGCUGCCGAAGGGUCGGCCCGCGUCUGAUUAGCUAGUUGGUGGGGUAAUGGCCUACCAAGGCGACGAUCAGUAGCUGGUCUGAGAGGAUGAUCAGCCACACUGGGACUGAGACACGGCCCAGACUCCUACGGGAGGCAGCAGUGGGGAAUAUUGGACAAUGGGCGCAAGCCUGAUCCAGCCAUGCCGCGUGAGUGAUGAAGGCCUUAGGGUUGUAAAGCUCUUUUGUCCGGGACGAUAAUGACGGUACCGGAAGAAUAAGCCCCGGCUAACUUCGUGCCAGCAGCCGCGGUAAUACGAAGGGGGCUAGCGUUGCUCGGAAUCACUGGGCGUAAAGGGCGCGUAGGCGGCCAUUCAAGUCGGGGGUGAAAGCCUGUGGCUCAACCACAGAAUUGCCUUCGAUACUGUUUGGCUUGAGUAUGGCAGAGGUCAGUGGAACUGCGAGU